rnacentral:rRNA from 1 species
AUUGAACGCUGGCGGCAUGCCUUACACAUGCAAGUCGAACGGCAGCACGGGAGCAAUCCUGGUGGCGAGUGGCGAACGGGUGAGUAAUAUAUCGGAACGUGCCCAGUCGUGGGGAUAACGUAGCGAAAGCUACGCUAAUACCGCAUACGAUCUAUGGAUGAAAGCGGGGGAUCGCAAGACCUCGCGCGAUUGGAGCGGCCGAUAUCAGAUUAGGUAGUUGGUGAGGUAAAGGCUCACCAAGCCGACGAUCUGUAGCUGGUCUGAGAGGACGACCAGCCACACUGGGACUGAGACACGGCCCAGACUCCUACGGGAGGCAGCAGUGAGGAAUAUUGGUCAAUGGGCGCAAGCCUGAACCAGCCAUGCCGCGUGCAGGAAGACGGUCCUAUGGAUUGUAAACUGCUUUAUACAGGAGAAACCCUCCACGUGUGGGAGCUUGACGGUACUGUAGGAAUAAGGAUCGGCU